UACGGGGGGGGCAAGCGUUGUUCGGAAUUACUGGGCGUAAAGGGCGCGUAGGCGGUCUGUCGCGUCGGCUGUGAAAUCCCGAGGCUCAACCUCGGGUCUGCAGUCGAUACGGGCAAACUAGAGUAUUGCAGGGGAGACUGGAAUUCCUGGUGUAGCGGUGAAAUGCGCAGAUAUCAGGAGGAACACCGGUGGCGAAGGCGGGUCUCUGGGCAAUAACUGACGCUGAGGAGCGAAAGCGUGGGGAGCGAACAGG
rnacentral:rRNA from 1 species